rnacentral:rRNA from 1 species
AUUGAACGCUGGCGGCAGGCCUAACACAUGCAAGUCGAGCGAGCGGAGGACGGGUGAGUAAUGUCUGGGAAACUGCCUGAUGGAGGGGGAUAACUACUGGAAACGGUGGCUAAUACCGCAUACCAUCAGAUGUGCCUCGAUGGGAUUAGCGCGUAGGUGGGGUAACGGCCCACCUAGGCGACGAUCCCUAGCUGGUCUGAGAGGAGGACCAGCCAAACUGGAACUGAGACACGGUCCAGACUCCGACGGGAGGCAGCAGUGGGGAAUAUUGCACAAUGGGCGCAAGCCUGAUGCAGCCAUGCCGCGUGGAUGAAGAAGGCCUUCGGGUUGUAAAGUACUUUCAGCGGGGAGGCGUUACCCACAGAAGAAGCACCGGCUAACUCCGGGCCAGCAGCCGCGGUAAUUC